GCGGGUUUAGCUCAUCUGGGAGAGCGUCAGACUGAAGUCCACUUCAAUCAUACUCUCUUCCCCCUUUCCGGGGGAACAGGGAAUUGUUACAUCUGAAGGUAGUGUGUUCAAUCCACACAACCCGCA